AAAGCUUAUGCAACCAACCAAACAAGAUGUAAGGAAAACCAGUAUAAGUAAAGCCAUGCAACCAAACAAACACACAAUGUCUGCAUAGAACAAGGCCAAGUCCAAUCUAGUUCCAAUCCUAGCCAGGGUACGAUUUAACGAGGCAACCAAACACGCCCUUUGUUUAUACUUAGGCUUCAUCUAAAAAACCAAAAACUUUUCAAGAUUCUCUGUCACAUCAAAUCUUGCGGCACAUGCAUGGAGCACUAAAUAUAGAUAAAAAUAAAAAUCAAUUUCACAGUUUACCUGUAAAUCGCGAGAUGAAUCUUUUAAGCCUAGUUACUUUAUAAUUGGACAAUGUUUGUUAAAUAAAAACAAAAUUGCUACAGUUUUGAAAACCAAAAUAGUUUUCUGAACUAAACGAGGCCUUAAAGCCAGGUAUUAGGGUCACUGCAAGAAGAAGCAGCGAUGAGAAAAGACAGCCGAACACGUGUGGAGCAAAAAAAAAAAAUGAUGGACUAAAGCCUGCAUUUGGUUCGCUAUUUGAAU
rnacentral:lncRNA from 1 species